rnacentral:rRNA from 1 species
UACGGAGGGUGCAAGCGUUAUCCGGAUUUAUUGGGUUUAAAGGGUCCGUAGGCGGAUCUGUAAGUCAGUGGUGAAAUCUCACAGCUUAACUGUGAAACUGCCAUUGAUACUGCAGGUCUUGAGUGUUAUUGAAGUAGCUGGAAUAAAUAGUGUAGCGGUGAAAUGCAUAGAUAUUACUUAGAACACCAAUUGCGAAGGCAGGUUACUAAGCAACAACUGACGCUGAUGGACGAAAGCGUGGGGAGCGAACAGG